GAUGAACGCUGGCGGCGUGCCUAAUACAUGCAAGUCGAGCGAACGGACGAGAAGCUUGCUUUUCUGAUGUUAGCGGCGGACGGGUGAGUAACACGUGGAUAACCUGCCUAUAAGACUGGGAUAACUUCGGGAAACCGGAGCUAAUACCGGAUAAUAUUUUGAACCGCAUGGUUCAAAAGUGAAAGACGGUCUUGCUGUCACUUAUAGAUGGAUCCGCGCUGCAUUAGCUAGUUGGUAAGGUAACGGCUUACCAAGGCAACGAUGCAUAGCCGACCUGAGAGGGGGAUCGGCCACACUGGAACUGAGACACGGUCCAGACUCCUACGGGAGGCAGCAGUAGGGAAUCUUCCGCAAUGGGCGAAAGCCUGACGGAGCAACGCCGCGUGAGUGAUGAAGGUCUUCGGAUCGUAAAACUCUGUUAUUAGGGAAGAACAUAUGUGUAAGUAACUGUGCACAUCUUGACGGUACCUAAUCAGAAAGCCACGGCUAACUACGUG
rnacentral:rRNA from 1 species